GACGAACGCUGGCGGCGUGCUUAACACAUGCAAGUCGAACGAAGUGGCGAACGGGUGAGUAACGCGUAAUCAACCUGCCCUUCAGAGGGGGUCAACAGUUGGAAACGACGGCAAAUACCGCAUACUGAGGGAGGGGUUUGCGUGGGAUUCGCUAGUUGGGGGGGUAACGGCCCACCAAGGCGAGGGUCAGUAGCCGGGCUGAGAGGCGUAACGGGCACAACUGGACUGGGAAACGGGCCAGACUUCUACGGGGGGCAGCAGUGGGGAAACUUCCGCAAUGGACGAAAGUCUGACGGAGCAACGCCGCGUGAGUGAUGACGGCUGUCGGGUUGUUAAGCUCUGUUAAUCGGGACGCGGUACCGGAAUAGAAAGCCACGGCUAACUACGUGCCAGCAGCCGCGGUAAUAC
rnacentral:rRNA from 1 species